rnacentral:rRNA from 1 species
CGCGAAUCGCCCUUCGGGGUGCACCAGGCGCGAAACCUCUGCAAUAGGCGAAAGCUUGACAGGGUUACUCUGAGUGAUUUCCGUUAAGGAAAUCUUUUGGCACCUCUAAAAAUGGUGCAGAAUAAGGGGUGGGCAAGUCUGGUGUCAGCCGCCGCGGUAAUACCAGCACCCCGAGUGGUCGGGACGUUUAUUGGGCCUAAAGCAUCCGUAGCCGGUUCUACAAGUCUUCCGUUAAAUCCAACUGCUUAACAGGUGGGCUGCGGAAGAUACUAUAGAUCUAGGAGGCGGGAGAGGCAAGCGGUACUCGAUGGGUAGGGGUAAAAUCCGUUGAUCCAUUGAAGACCACCAGUGGCGAAGGCGGCUUGCCAGAACGCGCUCGACGGUGAGGGAUGAAAGCUGGGGGAGCAAACCGGAUUAGAUACCCGGGUAGUCCCAGCUGUAAACGAUGCAGACUCGGUGAUGAGUUGGCUAUAUGCCAUCUCAGUGCCGCAGGGAAGCCGUUAAGUUUGCCGCCUGGGGAGUACGGUCGCAAGACUGAAACUUAAAGGAAUUGGCGGGGGAGCA